rnacentral:rRNA from 1 species
AUUGAACGCUGGCGGCAGGCUUAACACAUGCAAGUCGAGCGGAGAUGAGGUGCUUGCACCUUAUCUUAGCGGCGGACGGGUGAGUAAUGCUUAGGAAUCUGCCUAUUAGUGGGGGACAACAUUCCGAAAGGAAUGCUAAUACCGCAUACGUCCUACGGGAGAAAGCAGGGGACCUUCGGGCCUUGCGCUAAUAGAUGAGCCUAAGUCGGAUUAGCUAGUUGGUGGGGUAAAGGCCUACCAAGGCGACGAUCUGUAGCGAGUCGGAGAGGAUGAUCCGCCACACUGGGACUGAGACACGGCCCAGACUCCUACGGGAGGCAGCAGUGGGGAAUAUUGGACAAUGGGCGGAAGCCUGAUCCAGCCAUGCCGCGUGUGUGAAGAAGGCCUUUUGGUUGUAAAGCACUUUAAGCGAGGAGGAGGCUACUUAGAUUAAUACUCUAGGAUAGUGGACGUUACUCGCAGAAUAAGCACCGGCUAACUCUGUGCCAGCCGCCGCGGUAAAAC